rnacentral:rRNA from 1 species
UACGGAGGAUGCGAGCGUUAUCCGGAUUUAUUGGGUUUGAAGGGUGCGCAGGCGGCACGGCAAGCCGGCGGUCAAAUCGCGGGGCUCAACCCCGCCCAGCCGUCGGAACUGCCGGGCUAGAGUGGGCGAGAAGUGCGCGGAAUGCGUGGUGUAGCGGUGAAAUGCAUAGAUAUCACGCAGAACUCCGAUUGCGAAGGCAGCGCACCGGCGCCCUACUGACGCUCAGGCACGAAAGCGUGGGUAUCGAACAGG